rnacentral:misc_RNA from 1 species
GGUAGACGCUACGGACUUAAAAUAAUUUGAGCUUUAGGAGAAAAACUUACUAAAUGUUAGCUUUCAGAUUCAGGGAAAUUUAGGUUGAAAAAAAUAUAAGUAAUCCUGAGCCAAAUUAUUUUAUUAUUAAAAAUAAAAAAAUAGGUGCAGAGACUCGAUGGAAGCUAUCCUAACGCAAAAAAGUUUAACAUUAUUUAAUUGAAAUUUAAAAGUUAAUCGAACUAAAAAAAAUUUAAUUAAGUUAUUAUUUAAUUAAAUAAUAAGCGAGGAUAAAGAUAGAGUCCAAAUUUAGAUGUUAAUUUUUUAGCAACAAUUUAAAUUGUAGUAAAAAGAAAAUCCGUUGGCUUUAUUGACCGUGAGGGUUCAAGUCCCUCUAUCCCCAAUAUUUUAUGAAUUUUUUCUAUUAACAUAAUCGUUUUAUGUUAAGAUAGUUUAAAUAGAAAGCCGGAAUAGCUCAGUUGGUAGAGCAGAGGACUGAAAAUCCUCGUGUCAC